UACAGAGGGUGCGAGCGUUAAUCGGAAUUACUGGGCGUAAAGCGCACGUAGGCGGCUUGGUAUGUCGGGUGUGAAAUCCCUCGGCUUAACCGAGGACGUGCAUCCGAAACUGUGAGGCUUGAGUAUGGAAGAGGGUCGCAGAAUUCCCGGUGUAGCAGUGAAAUGCGUAGAUAUCAGGAGGAAUACCGAUGGCGAAGGCAGGUCUCUGGGCUAACACUGACGCUCAUGCACGAAAGCGUGGGGAGCAAACAGG
rnacentral:rRNA from 1 species